GCACUCGGAGAUGUACUGCAGCUUCAUGCACCCGAGGCCCUUGCUGUUGCACAGCGCAGGCAGCUUGCUCACCGCCCUCCUGCCGUUGAUGAGGGCCACAAGGUUGUUGGUUGGGUUCCUUGCCACGACCGCCAUCGCCAUCAAUUUGAGCAAGCACAAAGCACAAGCGCUGGCAAAUCAAUUUGAGCACAACCAAGUAGGACUCUGAGAUUCGAUAUUGAUUGAUUUUACCAUGGAUCUUUGCAGAGGAUAUGCCUGUCGGCAGCACCAUGGCGCAAAGCAGCAGGAGAAACACAAGCUUGGAGCCGGAGAUGCAGAUUUGCCGUAUUCUACUGCUGUGCUGUGCUGUGCGAGAUGUUUCCUUUUCCUCAAUCGUCAAUUCUCAUGAUGGGUGAUGGGUUAGUUGGUUAGUAAUAAUGAAUGAGAGGGAGGAGGAAGUAACGGGAGGUGGACCCUCCACGGUGGCAGCAGCAGCCGAAAGAAAACGAAAGCUAUGGAAAGGCUGGUGCCGGUGCGCGCAGCUGCCGCUGCCAUGGGUUUCUCCCAACCUGAACCUGAAGCUGCAACUGCAGCUGGAGCCUCGCCCUCACAUCGAAAGGUUGGUGCGCCUGCGUUGAAGCUCUGAGCCUGUGGUAUGUAUACUGACACUAAUAAUCAUCCUAUCUUGAACUUGGAGUACUUAUCGAUCUCAUCUCAUAUGAAUCUAUCUCUCUGCCUACACUACACUACACCAAGCUCCAGCAUGACGGAUCUCAUCUCAUAUUGAAUUGUUGAAUUAAUUAGCAGAUAAACUACAUGUACUGAAAUUGAUCCAUUGUUUUGGGUUACUGGACAAUGUUCAGAAUUUUUAGUUUCAUCAGAUAAACAUCAGGUCCUAAUAUAGUUAUGAAAGAAUGUGAAUGGACGUUAUUUAUAUUCUAGGGAGAAAAUUGGAUCUUCAGACCUUUGUUUUGAGAUAAGUUUCAGAGAAAAACAUUUGCUUAGAGAGAAAAUUCAGAUUAGAGCAUGACAAGCUAUUAGAAGCAGUGACUCACUUCACUGCAAAACUGUGUGACGAACUAAUAAUAAGUUGAUGAACCAAUACUAAGUCCUUGCCUUGAUGAGCCGAUACAUUGCCUGCACCUGCUAGAACACCAUCACUUGUAUGAUCAUGACAUUAUAUGAAGCUCUAGCCCCCUUUCUGUUAGCUUGGGCAAAAGCACCAUCUACGUUGAUUUUCAGCAUGUCUAAUGGGGGAGGUUUCCAGGUGCAUCCGACCGUUGUUGGUGCUACAGUAAGCUUUGGCUUUCUCUGAAUUUCAGUAACCAACUAUCGAACAGAUCCGACAAUAGCAGUAGGGGUCAGCUGCUUGUCUCCAGUAUUUACUGCAUUUCGUACUAUUCACCAUUUUCAUAAUGAAAUUAGAAUCUUGUUGCACAGCAUCUCUGGCAUAUUCAGGAUUUUUGCUACCAUCUCUUAUGUCCAAAUUUUGAUAUAUGGUUCAGUUGUAGGUUCUCUUGCCUUUAGCGCUCAAAAGAAUUUGAGCUAUUUUUUUUUCUAUAACUUUUGUAUUAUCUGAUACACCAUUUCACUUGCAUCUUGGAUUUGCAGUUCAGAUAAUAAACUAUAGGGUAGUGACAUAAUCAUAGUUGGAUGUGGGAUUAUAAAGGCAACCGAUACUUUGAAGACUGCAUGGGAGUACUACCACUUGCAACUUGCAAGGGUUAGGACUCAACCGUGGAGGAGACAGGAGACUUCACUGCAAGCACCAUCAUCCUUUGUGUUAAAUUACAAUAUUUCCUUCUCGGUUCACUCUGUUGUUGUUUGAGUUGGGCAUUGUGAUACCGGUGUUGGGUUGUAUAUUGUAUUAUUGCCCUUUGAACUCCAAACUCCCGAGCACCGUCAUGCUCGAAGUGUUAUUUUUUUCUGAUAACAAUACAACACACAUUCAUAUUCAUAUUAUCAUAGCAUUAUAUCUCCCCGUUGCAACGUACGAGCAUUUCCACAAUGCUG
rnacentral:lncRNA from 1 species